rnacentral:tRNA from 1 species
GGCCGGUUGGUCAAGCGGUCAAGACGCGGCCCUCUCACGGCUGAAACAAGGGUUCGAUUCCCUUACCGGUCA